rnacentral:rRNA from 1 species
GACGAACGCUGGCGGCGUGCUUAACACAUGCAAGUCGAACGGAAAGGCCUGCUUUCCCUUGUGGAUUGCGGGUACUCGAGUGGCGAACGGGUGAGUAACACGUGAGUGAUCUGCCCCCAACUUGGGUAUAAGCCUGGGAAACUGGGUCUAAUUCCCGAUAGGACUGCAGGGUGGUGCCUGUGGUGGAAAACGAUUUUCUAGUGGUUGGGGAUGAGCUCGCGGCCUAUCAGCUUGUUGGUGGGGUAAUGGCCUACUAAGGCGGCGACGGGUAGCCGGCCUGAGAGGGUGGACGGCCACAUUGGGACUGAGAUACGGCCCAGACUCCUACGGGAGGCAGCAGUGGGGAAUAUUGCACAAUGGGCGGAAGCCUGAUGCAGCGACGCCGCGUGGGGGAUGACGGCCUUCGGGUUGUAAACUCCUUUCGACCGCGAGGAAGCCACCUGGUUGGAAGGGUGGUGACGGUAGUGGUAGAAGAAGCACCGGCUAACUACGUG